CAUCUAUUUUUAUUUUGAGUAGGUGGUUCCAAGGGUUGGGCUGUUCGCCCAUUAAUGCGGUACGUGAGCUGGGUUCAGAACGUCGUGAGACAGUUC
rnacentral:ncRNA from 1 species